CCUACGGGAGGCAGCAGUGGGGAAUAUUGCACAAUGGGGGAAACCCUGAUGCAGCGACGCCGCGUGAGUGAAGAAGUAUUUCGGUAUGUAAAGCUCUAUCAGCAGGAACGAGACAAGACGGUACCUGACUAAGAAGCCCCGGCUAACUACGUGCCAACAGCCGCGGUCAUACGUAGGGGGCAAGCGUUAUCCGGAAGCACUGGGUGUAAAGGGAGCGUAGACGGCUGAGCAAGCCUGAAGUGAAAGGCGGGGGUCCAACCCCUGGACUGCUUUGGGAACUGUACGGCUGGAGUGCAGGAGAGGUAAGUGGAAUUCCUGGUGUAGCGGUGAAAUGCGUAGAUAUUAGGAGGAACACCAGUGGCGAAGGCGGCUUACUGGACUGUAACUGACGUUGAGGCUCGAAAGCGUGGGGAGCAAACAGGAUUAGAUACCCCAGUAGUC
rnacentral:rRNA from 1 species